UACGGGGGGGGCAAGCGUUGUUCGGAAUUACUGGGCGUAAAGGGCUCGUAGGUGGCCCACUAAGUCAGACGUGAAAUCCCUCGGCCUAACCGGGGAACUGCGUCUGAUACUGGAUGGCUUGAGUUUGGGAGAGGGAUGCGGAAUUCCAGGUGUAGCGGUGAAAUGCGUAGAUAUCUGGAGGAACACCGGUGGCGGAAGGCGGCAUCCUGGACCAACACUGACGCUGAGUGAGCGAAAGCCAGGGGAGCAAACGGG
rnacentral:rRNA from 1 species